rnacentral:rRNA from 1 species
AGCGGCGGACGGGUGAGUAACACGCGCGUAACCUGCCCAAGAGACUGGGAUAACACCUGGAAACAGAUGCUAAUACCGGAUAACAACACUAGACGCAUGUCUAGAGUUUGAAAGAUGGUUCUGCUAUUACCCUUGGAUGGACCUGCGGUGCAUUAGCUAGUUGGUAAGGUAACGGCUUACCAAGGCAAUGAUGCAUAGCCGAGUUGAGAGACUGAUCGGCCACAUUGGGACUGAGACACGGCCCAAACUCCUACGGGAGGCAGCAGUAGGGAAUCUUCCACAAUGGACGAAAGUCUGAUGGAGCAACGCCGCGUGAGUGAAGAAGGGUUUCGGCUCGUAAAGCUCUGUUGGUAGUGAAGAAAGAUAGAGGUAGUAACUGGCCUUUAUUUGACGGUAAUUACUUAGAAAGUCACGGCUAACUACGUGCCAGCAGCCGCGGUAAUACGUAGGUGGCAAGCGUUGUCCGGAUUUAUUGGGCGUAAAGCGAGUGCAGGCGGUUCAAUAAGUCUGAUGUGAAAAGCCUUCGGCUCAACCGGAGAAUUGCAUCAGAAACCUGUUGAACUUGAGUGCAAAAGAGGAGAGUGGAACUCCCAUGUGUAGCGGGUGGGAAUGCCUAGAUAUAUUGGAAGAACACCAGUGGGCGAAGGCGGCUCUCUGGUCUGCAACUGACGCUUGAGGCUCCAAAGCAUGGGUUAGCAGAACAGGAUUAGAUACCCUGGUAGUCCAUGCCCGUAAACGAUGAGUGGCUAAGUGG